ACGAAGGGUGCAAGCGUUACUCGGAAUUACUGGGCGUAAAGCGUGCGUAGGUUGUUCGUUAAGUCCGAUGUGAAAUCCCCGAGCUCAACUCGGGAACUGCGUCCGAUACUGGCGGGCUUGAAUCCGGGAGAGGGAUGCGGAAUUCCAGGUGUAGCGGUGAAAUGCGUAGAUAUCGGGAGGAACACCAGUGGCGAAGGCGGCGACCUGGACGGACACUGACGCUGAGACGCGAAAGCGUGGGGAGCAAACAGGA
rnacentral:rRNA from 1 species